CCAGACUCGGAGACAUCAGACCUCGAUUCGAAUUCCAGCGGAGCGAGCUGAUUUUCUCGUGCUAUCGAUUACGCUUUAGAUGAAAUUAUUCAAAUUACGCUGCUGUAUCUUGCUGGAUUUGAACUUGAAAUCUAAAAUUCCAAAGUAGGCACGUGCUAUACUGGAAUAGGUGCGAAAGAGGGGUAGGUGAAUCGGCAACGCUUUGUAAACUCUUGCCCUGACGAAGCCCAGAACACCUUCUGCGGUCGACGAUGCACGGAGAGUAAAAGAGAAAGAGAGAGAAAGAGAGAUAUAAACACUUCCAUGGUACCGUAAGAACUUAGCUAUUCUCAGUAGCCAGGAAAGGAGAAAUCAUUUCCUCACAUGUGAAAACGAAUUUCCGCAAUAUACAUAUAUUUCUAUAUAAGCUGAUUUCCAAACACUCAUUGCAUUAUAAUCAAAAUUAUAGUUUGCGCAAA